CCAAAUGUAACAAAGUUUACAAAUCAAUAAAAUGAACUCGAUCAGUCAACUACAACAAGCGACAUAUACUCUUUUUUAGAUAUAGCAGCCUCCAUGAUCGUUAUGGGAUCAAUCUUUACAACAUGUUUCAGAUCAAUCUCUCCAUCACAUUCCAAGAAUAGUUUUAACAAAUUCUUGGAAAAGCCACUUACCAAAGCCACUCCUUU
rnacentral:lncRNA from 1 species